rnacentral:rRNA from 1 species
UGCCAGCAGCCGCGGUAAUACGGAGGGUGCAAGCAUUGAUCGGAUUUACUGGGCGUAAAGGGCGCGUAGGCGGCUUGGCAAGUCAGAUGUGAAAUUCCGAGGCUCAACCUCGGAGCUGCAUUUGAAACUGCCAAGCUAGAGUACAGUUAGGGAAAACGGAAUUCCACGUGUAGCGGUGAAAUGCGUAGAUAUGUGGAAGAACACCGGUGGUGAAGACGGUUUUCUGGGCUGUUACUGACGCUGAGGCGCGAAAGCAUGGGGAUCAAACAGGAUUAGAUA